UACAGAGGUGACUAACGUUGUCCGGAAUUAUUGGGCGUAAAGGGCGCGUAGGUGGUCAGGUAAGUCAGGUGUGAAAGCUCUGGGCUUAACCUCGGAAUUGCACCUAAAACUACUUGGCUAGAGUACUGGAGAGGGAAACGGAAUUCACGGUGUAGCAGUGAAAUGCGUAGAUAUCGUGAGGAACACCAGAGGCGAAGGCGGUUUCCUGGACAGUUACUGACGCUCAGGCACGAAAGCGUGGGGAGCAAACAGG
rnacentral:rRNA from 1 species